rnacentral:rRNA from 1 species
AAUCCAUAGGUUAAUGAGGCGAACCGGGGGAACUGAAACAUCUAAGUACCCCGAGGAAAAGAAAUCAACCGAGAUUCCCCCAGUAGCGGCGAGCGAACGGGGAGGAGCCCAGAGCCUGAAUCAGCAUGUGUGUUAGUGGAAGCGUCUGGAAAGGCGCGCGAUACAGGGUGACAGCCCCGUACACAAAAGCGCAUGUGCUGUGAGCUCGAUGAGUAGGGCGGGACACGUGGUAUCCUGUCUGAAUAUGGGGGGACCAUCCUCCAAGGCUAAAUACUCCUGACUGACCGAUAGUGAACCAGUACCGUGAGGGAAAGGCGAAAAGAACCCCGGCGAGGGGAGUGAAAAAGAACCUGAAACCGUGUACGUACAAGCAGUGGGAGCACCCUUUUGGGUGUGACUGCGUACCUUUUGUAUAAUGGGUCAGCGACUUAUAUUCUGUAGCAAGGUUAACCGCAUAGGGGAGCCGGAGGGAAACCGAGUCUUAAUUGGGCGUUAAGUUGCAGGGUAUAGACCCGAAACCCGGUGAUCUAGCCAUGGGCAGGUUGAAGGUUGGGUAACACUAACUGGAGGACCGAACCGACUAAUGUUGAAAAAUUAGCGGAUGACCUGUGGCUGGGGGUGAAAGGCCAAUCAAACCGGGAGAUAGCUGGUUCUCCCCGAAAGCUAUUUAGGUAGCGCCUCGUGAAUUCAUCUCCGGGGGUAGAGCACUGUUUCGGCUAGGGGGCCAUCCCGGCUUACCAACCCGAUGCAAACUGCGAAUACCGGAGAAUGUUAUCACGGGAGACACACGGCGGGUGCUAACGUCCGUCGUGAAGAGGGAAACAACCCAGACCGCCAGCUAAGGUCCCAAAGUCAUGGUUAAGUGGGAAACGAUGUGGGAAGGCCCAGACAGCCAGGAUGUUGGCUUAGAAGCAGCCAUCAUUUAAAGAAAGCGUAAUAGCUCACUGGUCGAGUCGGCCUGCGCGGAAGAUGUAACGGGGCUAAACCAUGCACCGAAGCUGCGGCAGCGAA